GGAGAACAGGUGCGAGGGGGUGAGGUAAGGCGUGGGGGGUGAGCGGUGUCCGCAGGACGUGGGGGUGAAGGGGGUGGAGGGGGCCAGGUAAGUCCGUUGUGAGAGCCCGGGGCUCAACCCCGGGAGGCGGAUGGAGACUGCGUGGCUCGAGUCCGGAAGAGGCGAGUGGAAUUCCCGGUGUAGCGGUGAAAUGCGCAGAUAUCGGGAGGAACACCAAUGGCAAAGGCAGCUCGCUGGGACGGUACUGACGCUGAGACGCGAAAGCGUGGGGAGCAAACAGGAUUAGAUACCCCAGUAGUC
rnacentral:rRNA from 1 species